UGGGGAAUAUUGCACAAUGGGGGAAACCCUGAUGCAGCGACGCCGCGUGAACGAAGAAGGUAUUCGUAUCGUAAAGUUCUGUCCUAUGGGAAGAUAAUGACAGUACCAUAGAAGAAAGCUCCGGCUAAAUACGUGCCAGCAGCCGCGGUAAUACGUAUGGAGCGAGCGUUGUCCGGAAUUAUUGGGCGUAAAGGGUACGCAGGCGGUUUAAUAAGUCGAAUGUUAAAGAUCGGGGCUCAACCCCGUAAAGCAUUGGAAACUGAUAAACUUGAGUAGUGGAGAGGAAAGUGGAAUUCCUAGUGUAGUGGUGAAAUACGUAGAUAUUAGGAGGAAUACCAGUAGCGAAGGCGACUUUCUGGACACAAACUGACGCUGAGGUACGAAAGCGUGGGAGCAAACAGG
rnacentral:rRNA from 1 species